rnacentral:rRNA from 1 species
CACGUAGGCACCAAGCGUUGUCCGGAUUUAUUGGGCGUAAAGAGCUCGUAGGCGGUUCAGUAAGUCGGGUGGGAAAACUCUGGGCUCAACCCAGAGACGCCACCCGAUACUGCUGUGACUUGAGUACGGUAGGGGAGUGGGGAAUUCCCGGUGUAGCGGUGAAAUGCGCAGAUAUCGGGAGGAACACCAAUGGCGAAGGCAGCUCGCUGGGACGUUACUGACGCUGAGACGCGAAAGCGUGGGGAGCAAACAGG